AGCAGCCGCGGUAAUUCCAGCUCCAAUAGCGUAUAUUAAAGUUGUUGCAGUUAAAAAGCUCGUAGUUGAAUUUCGGGGUCAGCAGGUUGGUCGUGCCAAUGGUAUGCACUGGCCUUGCCGAUUCCUCCCUCUUGAUGAGCCGUAAUGCCAUUAAUUUGGUGUUGCGGGGAAUCAGGACUGUUACUUUGAAAAAUUAGAGUGUUUAAAGCAGGCAAGCGCUUGAAUACAUUAGCAUGGAAUAAUGAAAUAGGACGUUUGAUCCUAUUUUGUUGGUUUCUAGGAUUGACGUAAUGAUUAAUAGGGAUAGUUGGGGGCAUUAGUAUUCAAUUGUCAGAGGUGAAAUUCUUGGAUUUAUUGAAGACUGACUACUGCGAAAGCAUUUGCCAAGGAUGUUUUCAUUAAUCAAGAACGAAAGUUAGGGGAUCGAAGACGAUCAGAUACCGUCGUAGUCUUAACCAUAAACUAUGCCGACUAGGGAUCGGAUGAUGUUAAUUUUUAAUUGACUCAUUC
rnacentral:rRNA from 1 species